rnacentral:lncRNA from 1 species
CAAACUUGGGGGUUGUCUCAAAAUACUCGCUACUGUUGAAAAUCACUGCGGCUGAAACCUUGCACGGGCUCAAUUUCUGUUCCAUGUUUAAUCGUUAUAGCUGGUAUCUUAUUUAUGUGUUUAUUUUACCCUUUACAGACAAGUUGUAAACAUGUCUGGCCAGUUUUGAAAAAUAUCCGUGUGCAAACGGCCGAAGAGGAAGGGAUGACAUCUACUAUGAAGCACCAC